AUUAGGAAAAAUCAGAAAAAUGGCGAAACAAGAAAAAAUCACGCAGGGAAGCAGAGCUACCAGCGCAGAUGUCACGCACUUUGCUCGUGCGUGCACAUGCACAAUAUCCCGGGAUGUGCGCAUAACAUGCAAGUCCCAUUUGUUUGCACGCACACACAGUGUGCACGUUUCGUCCGCAUGCACGGCGUGGGAACAGGUCCUGCCCGCUUCUUGUCGCACGCAAGUAGGCUGUCCGUGCACGGACAAGUGUCGUACACUAUGCGUGCACCGUUCGCACAGCAGGCCUGCGCUGAUAAGCCCUGCGCACCUGGGGUCUUAGCACAGUAAGCCUGCAUACACGGUGUCCAGCGCGCGGCAGGACGCCUGUGGGCCUGCAGGCUAGCCUGUAACACGUUAGUUGGGCCAUUGUUGCCCUAGGCAGUGCACCGUUUUAACCUCGGACAGCGUGCUGCCCUCGCCAGUAGAGGAGGCACUCCUUUUUUGUU
rnacentral:lncRNA from 1 species